rnacentral:lncRNA from 1 species
GGCGCUGGUAUUAUCUCCCUGUUUACAGAAGAGGAAACUUGAGAAGUUAAGCAAUCUGCCAAAGGUCUUAGAGCCUGAAAGGUUAGCCCAUCGACCAAAUCCAGCCAGGCUUUACAGCCAGCACAAACAUCAGUCAGGUGGCCUAGGGCAAGUCAUUCAACUUCUCAGAACCUCAGUUUGUGAUGUCAGUUGGGGAUAAUGAUACUUGCCUUGCAGGGAAGGAAGAGACAGCUCCAGCUCCCUUUUCUUGGCAUCCCAGUCUUCAUCGCGCUCAUCCAGAGGCAGCCCCUUCUGCUGGGCAGCACGACGGUGGUGCUGGCACUCGGGCUCUGCCCUAGGAAAGAAGAGAGGGGCUUCUGAACUUGGAGCAGGAGGGCCUGUUCCAGCCUGGGAAUCUGCCUCUAUUCACGGGUUCUGCACACCGCAGUUCAGUUGAGAAGGAAGGAGGCCAAGUUUGAGCAUUUCCAAGCAUACACUUAGGGAAGGUCUCAGACACUAAAGAAACUACUUGGAGGUGGAGAAAAAUUGUGGGACCCGAGAGAGAUGUUAACAGACUCAAAGAUAGUCACUCAGCUUGAAGAAAAUGCUCCUGAUUCUUGAAGUGAUCACAUUUAUAAAGCAACCUGCAGAUUAUUGCAAGACUGUUUUCCUUUGUUUAUUUUUAGUUUCAUUUUUCAUAAUUAUAAAAGUGAUGUGUGUUCCUUGUAUAAAUUUUAGAAGUACAGAAACAUAUAAGGAACAAAAUGGGAAUCACUCACAAACACA